UACGUAGGGUGCGAGCGUUAAUCGGAAUUACUGGGCGUAAAGCGUGCGCAGGCGGUUCGUUAAGUCAGCUGUGAAAUCCCCGGGCUCAACCCGGGAACUGCAUCCGAUGCUGGAAGGCUUGAAUCCGGGAGAGGGAUGUGGAAGUUCCAGGUGUAGCGGUGAAAUGCGUAGAUAUCUGGAGGAACACCGGUGGCGAAGGCGACAUCCUGGACCGGUAUUGACGCUGAGGCGCGAAAGCCAGGGGAG
rnacentral:rRNA from 1 species